rnacentral:rRNA from 1 species
CCUACGGGAGGCAGCAGUGAGGAAUAUUGGUCAAUGGGCGCGAGCCUGAACCAGCCAAGUAGCGUGAAGGAUGACUGCCCUACGGGUUGUAAACUUCUUUUAUCAAGGAAUAAAGUGAGGCACGUGUGCCUUUUUGUAUGUACUUUAUGAUUAAGGAUCGGCUAACUCCGUGCCAGCAGCCGCGGUAAUACGGAGGAUCCGAGCGUUUUCCGGAUUUAUUGGGUUGAAAGGGAGCUUAGAUGGGUUGUUAAGUCAGUUGUGAAAGUUUGCGGCUCACGGGUAAAAUUGCAAUUGAUACUGGCAGUCUUGAGUACAGUUGAGGUAGGCGGAAUGCGUGGUGUAGCGGUGAAAUGCUUAGAUAUCACGAAGAACUCCGAUUGCGAAGGCAGCUUACGAAACUGCCACUGACAUUGAUGCACGAAAGUGUGGGUAUCAAACAGGAUUAGAGACCCGAGUAGUC